rnacentral:rRNA from 1 species
AUUGAACGCUGGCGGCAUGCCUUACACAUGCAAGUCGAACGGUAACAGGCCGCAAGGUGCUGACGAGUGGCGAACGGAUGAGUAAUGCAUCGGAACGUGCCCAGUCGUGGGGGAUAACUGCUCGAAAGAGCAGCUAAUACCGCAUACGACCUGAGGGUGAAAGCGGGGGACCGUCAGGCCUCGCGCGAUUGGAGCGGCCGAUGUCAGAUUAGCUAGUUGGUGGGGUGAAGGCCUACCAAGGCAACGAUCUGUAGUUGGUCUGAGAGGACGACCAGCCGCGCUGGGACUGAGACCCGGCCCAGACUCCGACGGGAGGCAUCAGUGGGGAAUUUUGGACAAUGGGCGCAAGCGUGAUCCGGAAAUGCCGCGUGCAGGAAGAAGGCCUUCGGGUUGUAAACUGCUUUUGUCAGGGAAGAAAUCUUCUGGGCUAAUACCCCGGGAGGAUGACGGUACCUGAAGAAUAAGCACCGGCUAACUACGUGCCAGCCGCCGCCGUAACAC